rnacentral:rRNA from 1 species
CUAAUACCGCAUAAUGUCGCAAGACCAAAGUGGGGGACCUUCGGGCCUCAUGCCAUCAGAUGUGCCCAGAUGGGAUUAGCUAGUAGGUGGGGUAAUGGCUCACCUAGGCGACGAUCCCUAGCUGGUCUGAGAGGAUGACCAGCCACACUGGAACUGAGACACGGUCCAGACUCCUACGGGAGGCAGCAGUGGGGAAUAUUGCACAAUGGGCGCAAGCCUGAUGCAGCCAUGCCGCGUGUGUGAAGAAGGCCUUCGGGUUGUAAAGCACUUUCAGCGGGGAGGAAGGCGUUAAGGUUAAUAACCUUGGCGAUUGACGUUACCCGCAGAAGAAGCACCGGCUAACUCCGUGCCAGCAGCCGCGGUAAUACGGAGGGUGCAAGCGUUAAUCGGAAUUACUGGGCGUAAAGCGCACGCAGGCGGUCUGUCAAGUCGGAUGUGAAAUCCCCGGGCUCAACCUGGGAACUGCAUUCGAAACUGGCAGGCUAGAGUCUUGUAGAGGGGGGUAGAAUUCCAGGUGUAGCGGUGAAAUGCGUAGAGAUCUGGAGGAAUACCGGUGGCGAAGGCGGCCCCCUGGACAAAGACUGACGCUCAGGUGCGAAAGCGUGGGGAGCAAACAGGAUUAGAUACCCUGGUAGUCCACGCCGUAAACGAUGUCGAUUUGGAGGUUGUGCCCUUGAGGCGUGGCUUCCGGAGCUAACGCGUUAAAUCGACCGCCUGGGGAGUACGGCCGCAAGGUUAAAACUCAAAUGAAUUGACGGGGGCCCGCACAAGCGGUGGAGCAUGUGGUUUAAUUCGAUGCAACGCGAAGAACCUUACCUGGUCUUGACAUCCACAGAACUUUCCAGAGAUGGAUUGGUGCCUUCGGGAACUGUGAGACAGGUGCUGCAUGGCUGUCGUCAGCUCGUGUUGUGAAAUGUUGGGUUAAGUCCCGCAACGAGCGCAACCCUUAUCCUUUGUUGCCAGCGGU